rnacentral:lncRNA from 1 species
UUCUUAUGACAAACUUAUGAAGUGGAAAUUAUUAAUUCUCAUUUACACAUGAGGAAAUUGAAGGUCAGAGAAUCCACAGCAGAGGGCCCAUAUUCCUUCUGUUUUCCAAAUACAUGCUAUUUAUCAUGCAGCCACUGCUGGAGGAUUGGUCCUUCCAUACAGAGCCUUCACUGGGGGUAUUCUCUAGUCCUGAUCAGAAAAGUUGGGCAGCGUCUGCCCACCACCUGUCAGGACCUGGCUUCAGGUCAGCCAGCAUAUCGGGGACCACCCCACUGUGGGAUGCUGCCAACUGCAUCGGUCUGGCAACCACGUUUGUUUACCAGCACUUGUUGGCAAGGCCACGGCUUUUGAAGCUGCCUCUCAUUGUGUCUUUAACACUUCUGCUCUGACCACCCAGCCUCAGCAAAGCAAGACCCACGUCUGCCCACAUCAAUUCAUUCUGUAACUGCUUAGGGAAGAUUUUGCCUCCUCCCUCCUCUGUGUGCUUCCUGACUCAACAGUGACAUCAAAGUCCAGGGGACCCUUUGUGAGAGCCUCAGUGCUAGUGAUUCCACGACCAAAAUACUGGUCUUCAAGCUGUACAAGAAGUAUGGUGUCAGCACCUACUUCUGGUGAGAGUCUCAAGAAGAUUCCACUCAUAGCAGAAGGCAAAGAUGAGCAUGCAUCGCAUGGAGAAGAAAAGAGGAAAAAAGAACAAAAGAGAGAGAAGGAAAAAGAGGAGGAGAAUUGUUCUAGGACCAUGUGCCCUACCCUCAUGGAGCUCAAGUGUUGGGAGAAACGGGCAAUAAACAAGUAAGCAUCUAACUAAACAUCGUUAUUUUACAUAGCUGUAUUUGCUUUAUGAAAUAAACCAAAGUAAGGAGAGAUGAAGGAAGAAAGGUAACAUUCUGGAUAAUGUGGCCAAGGAAGUUCUUUUUACAAAAGUUAUAUCUGUGCAGAGACCUAUAUCAUGUAGCAGAGCAAGCUGUGCAUACUAACAUUGUCUACUGUAAUCAGCAUUCAUCCCACUCCUUUCUAUGCUUUCCUCAAUAUCACAUUGUAGGCUGGAAAUCUACAUUUCUUAGACUUCCUUGCCAGCAAGUUUCUGGAUACAGUUAGAUUCAGCCAAUGUGAUGAACUCUUGUGAGAGAUGAAAUAUGCAAGGUAGGAAAUGGGCUUGUGCCACCAAGAUCCACUGGUCUUAUUAUGUACCCCAUCACCCAGAAGAAGCUGGUGGUUCAGGAUGAUGGAACAGCUUAUUGAAAACUCAAUUAUAGCACCACUUGGGAAACAGCACCUAGCAAAGCUACAGUGCAGUCCUACAAGUUGUUGCAUAUGUUGCCAAAGAAUAUCCAAUAAAAGGUGUUACUGUCCCAAUAUUGUGACUAGACAUAGUUACAUGAAGUCUAGGAGCCCAAGAUAGAAAUACGAGUCACUUGUCUUCUUAGCACAUCUUAUGAACCACUCAUGAAAGGUUCGCUACCUUCCCCAUGUCUUUGGAGUCUGAUGGACAGAGGUAUUACCCGCCAAGAGAAAAGCAGUCCCACCACGAGACACAGCAAGUGUUCUACUGAAUGGGAAGUCACAACUGGACACCUGGACAUUUACGGCCUCUCCUGCCAGUGAACUAACCAUUUUUAAAGGGUAUUAUUCUCCUGCCUGAAAUGAUGACUACUAAUUGUCAAAGGACAUUAGGACUGCUGCUGAACAAAGGGGAAGAAAGACGAUGUCAGGAACCCAGGGAAAUUCCCUGAAGCAUCUUUUACUAAACUAUGCCUUGUGAUAAAAGUUUUAAAAUAACCCGAUAUAAACAGGACCCCAAAAGAUUAAGGUCCUAAAGAAGCUGAACAUAAUUAAGAGAUCUCAGACCUUUCAGGAAAGACAGUUUGUUCACCACUCCAGGUAGAAGAUAUCCUGACAAAAUGAGCUCCUGGAUGAGGACAAAGAGAACAUGGAUGAAUAUAGUUAUAAAUUCUAACUUCAGCCUCAUGACCAGUUGAAUAAACAAAAAUGCAGCAACUAUGCAUAUUUUCUUUAUUAUUUUGAAGUGCAUAUAUUUGCGAAUUUUGACCAAUUUUUUCUCUCCCUUUCCCUUGACAUAAUUGAUUUUUAUAUUAUAUUUGCCUUUCUUCUUUUACGGUAAAAUGAGUU